GACGAACGCUGGCGGCGUGCCUAAUACAUGCAAGUAGAACGCUGAAGGAGGAGCUUGCUUCUCUGGAUGAGUUGCGAACGGGUGAGUAACGCGUAGGUAACCUGCCUGGUAGCGGAGGAUAACUAUUGGAAACGAUAGCUAAUACCGCAUAAGAGUAGAUGUUGCAUGACAUUUGCUUAAAAGGUGCAAUUGCAUCACUACCAGAUGGACCUGCGUUGUAUUAGCUAGUUGGUGGGGUAACGGCUCACCAAGGCGACGAUACAUAGCCGACCUGAGAGGGUGAUCGGCCACACUGGGACUGAGACACGGCCCAGACUCCUACGGGAGGCAGCAGUAGGGAAUCUUCGGCAAUGGACGGAAGUCUGACCGAGCAACGCCGCGUGAGUGAAGAAGGUUUUCGGAUCGUAAAGCUCUGUUGUAAGAGAAGAACGAGUGUGAGAGUGGAAAGUUCACACUGUGACGGUAUCUUACCAGAAAGGGACGGCUAACUACGUG
rnacentral:rRNA from 1 species